rnacentral:rRNA from 1 species
GAUCAUGGCUCAGGAUGAACGCUAGCUACAGGCUUAACACAUGCAAGUCGAGGGGAAACGACAUCGAAAGCUUGCUUCCGAUGGGCGUCGACCGGCGCACGGGUGAGUAACGCGUAUCCAACCUGCCCACCACUUGGGGAUAACCUUGCGAAAGUAAGACUAAUACCCAAUGAUAUCUCUAGAAGACAUCUUCAUAUGGUCAAAGAUUUAUCGGCAAAGGAUGGG